CCUACGGGGGACAGCAGUGGGGAAUAUUGCGCAAUGGGCGAAAGCCUGACGCAGCGACGCCGCGUGAGGGAUGAAGGUCUUCGGAUCGUAAACCUCUGUCAGCAGGGAAGAACGGUCACUGUGCUAAUCAGCAGUGAAUUGACGGUACCUGCAAAGGAAGCACCGGCUAACUCCGUGCCAGCAGCCGUGGUAAUACGGAGGGUGCGAGCGUUAAUCGGAAUUACUGGGCGUAAGGCGCUCGUAGGCGGUAUGUCAAGUCAAGGUUGAAAGCCCCGCGCUCAACGUGGGAACUGCCUUUGAAACUGGCAAACUGGAGUGUGUGAGAGGAGAGUGGAAUUCCAGGUGUAGGAGUGAAAUCCGUAGAUAUCUGGAGGAACAUCAGUGGCGAAGGCGACUAUCUGGCACAUAACUGACGCUGAGGAGCGAAAGCGUGGGUAGCAAACAGGAUUAGAUACCCCUGUAGUC
rnacentral:rRNA from 1 species